GACGAACGCUGGCGGCGUGCUUAACACAUGCAAGUGGAGCGACGAACCAGGGCUUGCCCUGGGGCAGAGCCGCGAACGGGUGAGUAACACGUGGGUAACGUGCCCCAAUGAUCGGGACAACCCGGGGAAACCCGGGCUAAUACCGAAUGUGCUCCCCUCACACCAGUGAGGGGUGGAAAGGAAGCUUCGGCCUCCGCAUUGGGAUCGGCCCGCGGCCCAUUAGCUUGUUGGUGAGGGAACGGCUCACCAAGGCUGCGAUGGGUAGCUGGUCUGAGAGGACGAUCAGGCACACUGGGACUGAGACACGGCCCAGACGCCUACGGGAGGCAGCAGUGGGGAAUCUUGCGCAAUGCGCGAAAGCGUGACGCAGCAACGCCGCGUGGGGGAAGAGGGCCUUCGGGUUGUAAAGCUCUUUCGGCCGGGAAGAAAUCGCACGGGCUAAUACCCUGUGUGGAUGACGGUACCGGAAUAAGAAGCACCGGCUAACUACGUGCCAGCAGCCGCGGUAA
rnacentral:rRNA from 1 species